GAUCCCUAUAAAACCUUUUGUGCUUUUGACCCUCGCUCUCUGUCUCCGGUAUCUCACCGCUGCGUCCGUGCAGGUAGGAGAUUGAGCUCAAGCUAGCUCAAAUAAAGCCUCUUUGCUUUUGCAUCGGA